CCUUUCUAUCAAUGAGCAAGGAAACACCUUGUUGGUGGUGGUGUUCUUAUAUCAGUCAGGGGCAAAGCUAACAGCAGUCAGUUCUUUAUCCUAGCUUGAUGCAUGGCUUGGUGGCCAAAGCUGUCUUAUGUCUAGGACUCAUAA